GAUGAAGAACGUAGCGAAAUGCGAUAAGUAAUGUGAAUUGCAGAAUUCAGUGAAUCAUCGAAUCUUUGAACGCACAUUGCGCCCGCCAGUAUUCUGGCGGGCAUGCCUGUUCGAGCGUCAUUUCAACCAUCAAGCCCUGCUUGUGUUGGGGUCCUGCGGCUGCCCGCAGGCCCUGAAAACCAGUGGCGGGCUCGCUAGUCACACCGAGCGCAGUAGCACAUCUCGCUCAGGGCGUGCGGCGGGCUCCAGCCGUUAAAGCACCCUCCUUUCGCAAGGUUGACCUCGGAUCAGGUAGGAAUACCCGCUGAACUUAAGCAUAUCAAUAAGCGGAGGA
rnacentral:misc_RNA from 1 species